rnacentral:rRNA from 1 species
UCGGAUUGUAGUCUGCAACCCGACUACAUGAAGCUGGAAUCGCUAGUAAUCGCGAAUCAGAAUGUCGCGGUGAAUACGUUCCCGGGUCUUGUACACACCGCCCGUCACACCAUGGGAGUCGGAAAUGCCCGAAGCCAGUGACCCAACCGUAAGGAGGGAGCUGCCGAAGGUGGAGCCGGUAACUGGGGUGAAGUCGUAACAAGGUAGC